CAUUCACGGAGAGUUUGAUCCUGGCUCAGGACGAACGCUGGCGGCGUGCUUAACACAUGCAAGUCGAACG
rnacentral:rRNA from 2 species